CGCUCUGGGUGGCCACGUGACGGCAGCGAAGAGCGCGCGCGCGAGCUGGUUCAUCCGGGCACCUUCGUGGCGGCGGCGGAUGAGGUACACUUCAGUGCCACAAAACUAAACAGCAAGACUUGGCUCAUCAUGGAAUUCUAAUGGGUAGUUAAGCAAAGUUCCAGCUCGGUUGACAGGAUAGAUCCCGGUAGGAAUCCUGUAUCUUAAUGGACUCCGAAGACAACACCACUGGGCAAUGAAGAGAAGAAGAUUCUGAUGGAUGAGGCUGUAUAAUGAAGCAUGAUGUUGAUCUCUGGUUCAUGUUGACCACAAAGCCUAGCUGAAAUCAUUAUUUUGCUCUCUGCCAGCUGCCACAUACAAUCUUCCUACCUGCUUGGACAACCUUUGAAUACAGCAGGAAUUUAUCUCCAGAGUUAGGGGUGUCAGUCUGUCUGACCCUGGAGAUAAGUUAAUAUGCCUUUACCCCGAUAGAACGCGACCCAAUAUAACACGAAUUCAGAUAAAAUGCAGUAAAGCAGCGGGGAGCUCCGGGCCCUUUAA